UCCCAACUGUCAGUGCAGAACCCAAUGCAGGGCUGAAACUUACACACUGAGAUUAUGACCUGAGCUGAAACCAAAACUCAGAUGCUUAACCAACUGAGCCAGCCACCCAGGGGCCCCAAGAAGCUUUGUUUUUAACUCUAGUUUUAUCACAAAUCUAGUAACAUAAACCCUAGUAAUUAAUGAUUAAUAAUUCUGAAUGGUGACUUAAAGGAAAAAAUAAAAGGAAGAGAACCUGAAUUAUUUACGUCCAGGCAAAUACUACUAAAGGAUGUAAUAUUUCAUUAAUUUCACUGGUUAUUAAUCUAUAAAUUAGACAUAUGUAUAUGGAAUGAAAUAGAAGAGUUGCUGAGUCUUCUAUUUUUCAUUAACCUAACUUGGAAUUCAAACUGUUAAAUAAAAGAAACUAUAACUGUACCUUGGUGUAAAUAUUUGUUGAAUAAACAGACAAGUUGACUUCUUGCUGAUUUAUGAAAGCAAUUCCCAGGCAUAGUGCUUAUAGUGAAUAUUAUGGCAGAGCCUGCUAAAUGCCUCCCUAGGAGUCAGGCACCCUCUCUUCUUGCAGAAACCUUAUUUUACUAAGAAUGGCAAUGUGUCUAGCCAAAAAACAUUUCCUACCCUCCCUUGUAGGUAAGAGGAGGCUUCAUUGCUAAGUUCUGGGUCUUCUAGGGAAGGUCUUUAAAAAGGGGCUUACUUGGGGUGCCUGGGUGGCUCAGGUGGUUAAGCAUCCGACAUUGGUUCAGGUCAUGAUCUCACAGUUUGUGAGUUCAAGUCCUGUGUCGGGCUCUGUGCUGACAGUUCAGAACCUGGAGCCUACUUCAGAAUCUGUGACUCCGUCUCUCUCUGCCCCUCCCCCACUCACGCUCUGUCUCUCAAAAAAUAAAUAAAUGUUAAAUAAAUAAAUAAAAAUAAAAAGGGGUUUACUCAGCUGACAAGCAACUAGUAAACUUUUGCUCUUCCUCCUUCCUUCUGCCUGGAACCCAUGUUGUGACUGGAGCUGUGCUGCUUACAUUAUGACCACGAGCUGAGCUUGGGGAUGGACAAUAAAGAUGGUUGAGGAAGAAGAGGCACCACUUAGAAUAUUGGUGACAAAAAGGAACCAUCUUUCUUCAUAAGAAGAAAUCCAUUAUAUAACUGAUACUUUGCAUAACGAUCCUGAAAAAAGUAUUGGCUCCUAUUUUGCAAAAUAAAGGAAUUAAGGCUUGAAGAGGUUAUAAAUUCCCAAGGUCACAGGGCUGCUAUUCAUCAGGGGACACUAAUGACACAAGCAAUGGAGAUACAACUGCGUCAAGAUAUUAAUGCUUUAUUGACUUCCUAAAGGCGUUACAUUGGAUAAUGUCACUUCUCUGCCUAAAACACUUUGCUUCCUUCUGUUUUUGGAAUAAAACACACAAUCUUCAGUAGGGCCUAAUAGGCCCUUCAUGACCUGGCCUACCUCUGCAUCUCAUGUGAUAAUAACUUCUUUCUGUUACUUACUGUGUUAACCCCAUCAUCCUUCUGAAAAUUCAUCCACAAGAGGUAAGCAUUCCUACCUUGAGGCCUUUGUAUUGCUAUCUCUAUGCCUGGCAUAUUCUUUUUAUAUGUCUUUCUAUGGAGAUGCCUUCAUUAUUUUUCUGCAUGUGAUUUAAGUAUCACUUUCUUGGUUAGGCCUGCCCUCACCUUCUUUUAAAUAAUUAUUUUCUGUUAGUCCCUACAUCAACACUUUAUUUCUUUCAAGACAUUAUCGCGUUCUAGAAUCACUUUUUUUUUUUUCUAGAAUGAAUCCCUCCCUGUCCCCCCUCCCUCCUCCAAUGCUUAUCUUCUCAGCUAGAAUAUCAGUUUCACGAAGGCAAGGAAUGUCUCUUGGUCAUUACAGUACUCCCAGACCCUGGCAAGAUAGCCUUUCAUAAAUAAUUGUAGAUUUUUUUUAAGUUUGAGAGAGAGAGAGUGCACGUGUGAACGAAUGCCCACGUGCAUGAGGGGCAGAGAGAGAAUCCCAAGC